AUUGAACGCUGGCGGCAGGCCUAACACAUGCAAGUCGAGCGGAUGAAGAGAGCUUGCUCUCUGAUUAGCGGCGGACGGGUGAGUAAUGCCUAGGAAUCUGCCUGGUAGUGGGGGAUAACGUUCCGAAAGGAACGCUAAUACCGCAUACGUCCUACGGGAGAAAGCAGGGGACCUUCGGGCCUUGCGCUAUCAGAUGAGCCUAGGUCGGAUUAGCUAGUUGGUGGGGUAAAGGCUCACCAAGGCGACGAUCCGUAACUGGUCUGAGAGGAUGAUCAGUCACACUGGAACUGAGACACGGUCCAGACUCCUACGGGAGGCAGCAGUGGGGAAUAUUGGACAAUGGGCGAAAGCCUGAUCCAGCCAUGCCGCGUGUGUGAAGAAGGUCUUCGGAUUGUAAAGCACUUUAAGUUGGGAGGAAGGGUUGUAACCUAAUACGUUGCAAUUUUGACGUUACCGACAGAAUAAGCACCGG
rnacentral:rRNA from 1 species